UCUCCGUUGGUGAACCAGCGGAGGGAUCAUCACCGAGUUUACAACUCCCAAACCCAAUGUGGACCAUACCAAACUGUUGCCUCGGCGGGGUCACGCCCCGGGUGCGUCGCAGCCCCGGAACCAGGCGCCCGCCGGAGGGACCAACCAAACUCUUUCUGUAGUCCCCUCGCGGACGUUAUUUUUACAGCUCUGAGCAAAAAUUCAAAAUGAAUCAAAACUUUCAACAACGGAUCUCUUGGUUCUG
rnacentral:misc_RNA from 1 species